rnacentral:rRNA from 1 species
AGAGUUUGAUCCUGGCUCAGGAUGAACGCUGGCGGCGUGCCUAAUACAUGCAAGUCGAGCGAACGGACGAGAAGCUUGCUUCUCUGAUGUUAGCGGCGGACGGGUGAGUAACACGUGGAUAACCUACCUAUAAGACUGGGAUAACUUCGGGAAACCGGAGCUAAUACCGGAUAAUAUUUUGAACCGCAUGGUUCAAAAGUGAAAGACGGUCUUGCUGUCACUUAUAGAUGGAUCCGCGCUGCAUUAGCUAGUUGGUAAGGUAACGGCUUACCAAGGCAACGAUGCAUAGCCGACCUGAGAGGGUGAUCGGCCACACUGGAACUGAGACACGGUCCAGACUCCUACGGGAGGCAGCAGUAGGGAAUCUUCCGCAAUGGGCGAAAGCCUGACGGAGCAACGCCGCGUGAGUGAUGAAGGUCUUCGGAUCGUAAAACUCUGUUAUUAGGGAAGAACAUAUGUGUAAGUAACUGUGCACAUCUUGACGGUACCUAAUCAGAAAGCCACGGCUAACUACGUGCCAGCAGCCGCGGUAAUACGUAGGUGGCAAGCGUUAUCCGGAAUUAUUGGGCGUAAAGCGCGCGUAGGCGGUUUUUUAAGUCUGAUGUGAAAGCCCACGGCUCAACCGUGGAGGGUCAUUGGAAACUGGAAAACUUGAGUGCAGAAGAGGAAAGUGGAAUUCCAUGUGUAGCGGUGAAAUGCGCAGAGAUAUGGAGGAACACCAGUGGCGAAGGCGACUUUCUGGUCUGUAACUGACGCUGAUGUGCGAAAGCGUGGGGAUCAAACAGGAUUAGAUACCCUGGUAGUCCACGCCGUAAACGAUGAGUGCUAAGUGUUAGGGGGUUUCCGCCCCUUAGUGCUGCAGCUAACGCAUUAAGCACUCCGCCUGGGGAGUACGACCGCAAGGUUGAAACUCAAAGGAAUUGACGGGGAC